GAUAUUCCACAACGGGGGAAACCCUGAUGCAGCGACGCCGCGUGAGCGAAGAAGGCCUUCGGGUCGUUAAGCUCUGUUCUUCUGGAAUAAACGGACGGUGCCUUAGGAGGAAGCCACGGCGAAUUACGUGCCGGCGGCCGCGGUAAUACGUAGGGGGCGAGCGUUAUCCGGAAGUACUGGGCGGAACGGUUGAGUAGGCGGCCAUUGAAGUCAGGUGUGAAAGGCUACGGCUUAACCGUAGUUAGCAUUUGAAACUAAAAGGCUUGAGUGCAGGAGAGGAGGAUGGAAUUCCUAGUGUAGCGGUGAGAUGCGUAGAUAUUAGGAGGAACACCAGUGGCGAAGGCGACUCUCUGGACUGCAACUGACGAUGAGGCACGAAAGCGUGGGGAGCGAACAG
rnacentral:rRNA from 1 species